rnacentral:misc_RNA from 1 species
AAAGUCGUAACAAGGUUUCCGUAGGUGAACCUGCGGAAGGAUCAUUAAUGAUUUUUUAAGCAAACCAAGCGAAAGCGAGGUUUUGCGAAUAUAUUUAAAACCCCCCCCCCACUCUUUAUAAAAGAAAAUUUUUUUCAUAUUCAUAAAUGAAUAAAAAAAGAUCACUUUCAACAACGGAUCUCUUGGCUCUC